rnacentral:lncRNA from 1 species
UCUCUCUUAUUUUAUGUUUGUUUCUUUCAUUGAGGACAAUGCAUAUUUUAAGUGUGGAGGAGGGAAUACUUUAUUUUCUUUGUUUUUGUUCUUUGUUUUGUUUUGUUUUUGUUUUCUUUCUAAAAAAAUUGCAUUUUUGUUGAAAGUUUUAGGCUAUAGAAUAAUUUGAGGUCGAGUUUGCGAAGACUUGGGAAAAAAUCACAAGAUCGGUAUUGUUUUAACACCAUAAGUCUCCUGCAUAUAGAAAUUGAGUUGAAUUUUUAUUAUGACAUAGCCUUAAAUUCUCAUCAUCUGACUGCUCUUGAGUAGUUUAUUUCAGCAGUCAGCACCAUCUCACACACACUCUACACAGGGAAGCCGAUGAAUAUAAGUGAGUGUUCCGAAAAAAAAAAUGCACCUUCUAAGUUUGGUAACCCUCACCCGGUCACUUAACCCAACGGUGGUGGAACCUUCAAAAAAAGUUGGAAAUAAGACUCUUUUGUAGUUGGUUCAGCGGGUUCUGGUGCUGAACUUGGUAGGGCAGAUUACGGUCCGAUCCCUCGCAACUACAAUUGAGUAAGCAAAGGGUUAUGCCACUUAAGUACCAGAACUCCAUGCAGAAAAGCAUCAGAGUCACUAACCGAUCGCCUUGCUAUGAGUGUGUGGAGAUAACAGGCUUAAUGUGAUUGCGCCUGAAUGAAAAAGAGCCAAAGAAGGAUGAGUAAGUUAGGCUUUAAUAUAAUAACAUGAUUCGAGUUGAUUUGUGUAUUCAUGAGAUUUAUGUCUGCAUAACUGUGGAUUAGUGUUCUUACAAUGUCCUUAGUGUGCAAGGUUAGUACCUAUCAAAGCAAACUUAACCGAAGAUGACUUGUAGCCUAGAAUGAGUAAUCGUUGAUGUGUCUGUGUUUUGUUUUGUUUUUCAUUUUGCUCGGAGUGCAAAAGUUCAAGUGUGGAGGAAUUUGAUCAGUGCAUUUUGAUGCAUGUUCUUCCAUGUUUGUAUUUAAGAAUUUCUUCGGUUUGCUUUGAUUAUUUUUAUGUUUUAAUGUGUUUUCAUAAUUUAUUUUAUUUUUGCACUUAUUUAAUUUUCGUAUUUAAUUUUCAGCAUUAGCAGCUUUCGCGAGAAAAAGAAUAUCUUGAGCUAGGAGUAUCGGAUUGAAACGUGCUACCAGUCGAUGGAAAGCUAAGAAAAAGAUCUAUAACUUUUGUUCAGAAGUCGAGAUCUGAAUAUUACUGUAGCAGGGCCAGAAAUUUCGUUGAAGCUGCUGCAUUAUUUUUAUAUUUUGUUUGGGUUAGUUGUAUUGGGCCCGGAUCGUACAUUUGACCCGGUUGAGUUGUGAAACGGGUUUGGGUGUUUUUACCUAGGUUAGGCAGCCAAAAACAGGGUUACGUUUUACUAUUCACGAAAUACUUGAAAGCUUUGGCAAGAAUUCUCAUGAAGAACUCAUCGAUCCAAACAAUUUGCUGUAUUCGGGUUCCGAUACCUUGAGAAUUUAGUAAUUCUUAUUCAGGUUUUUUAUUCCUUUCAAUAUUAAUAUAUGUAUUUUGUUUGCUUAAUCCGAUUUACAUAUGUUAUAUUGAUUUAAUCCGAUUGAUUGUGUGAUCCUAACUAUAGUCACGAUUUCGUUUGCUUAAUUCGUUAUCGAGUCCGUUUAAUUCAUGUUUGCUUAAUUCAUGAAACUUAAUCCCGUUUGCUUAAUUCAGAUAAUAGGAACAUACAACUUAUACUAUCAAUUGCGCUUGUCAGUUGAUAUUAUAAUCGAAUAGGAAUAAUUAAUCUACAGUUGGAAUUACGAUAGUCGAUGAUAGGCAAAGACCGAAUCAGUAAAUUGUUGCUACAGCUUAUUUCAAUAAUCACUUAUUUUAAUCUAUUUUUUAUUUAAUUGAAUCCUAAACCAACCAAAACCCCAUUAAUCGUUACUAUCAUUGGUUAAUUCAUUCAAGAAUCCUUGUGAGAACGAUAAUCCGAGUCAAUUUGUCGUUAAACUACAUUUUUGAAAAAUUACUCUUUUUGAUCCGCGUGCGACAGCGGAGCAAAUUGGCGCCGUUGCCGGGGAUUCUUGUCGAAUUAGUCAAUAGUUUAGUUUUAAGUAUUGUGUGUUUUGUUUUUCUGCAAUUUCCUGUUAUUUUUCCGAAUUUUUCUACAGUUUCGCGUUCGGAGUUGCGUCUAGAGUCAGAAAAAACCAAUUUUUGGAAAAUUUGUGUUUGAUUGUAUAAGUUUUUUACCUACUGGAAGCAGAAAAAUCGUGCGAUCAAUACUCCUUUACUCUAAAAGAGUAAAAGACUCUGACGUCAAAUUUGCCAAAUUCCUUGUUUUUCUAUUUUUAAUUAAUUGUUUACUGUUUUCAUAGUGUCGAAAAAAUCCAAAAAAAAAUCUCAAAAUUUUCAUUUCACGUCAUUAGAUUAAGUUUGGUGCUUUUGUAUUUUUCUGAAUUUAUUUUAAUCGUUUUUCUUCUUUCUAUUUGUUUUUGUCUAUUUCGGACAUAGUUGAUAUUUCUGUGUUUUUUUUAUUACAUGGAUGAUCAAAGAACAUUAAGGCAGUUUGCUACUCCUGAUGUUAAUUAUAAUGACUUUUGUAUUGAAUAUUCUGAUGUUUCGGUUCCUUUUGAAUUGAAAUCUGGUUUAAUACAUUUGUUUCCAAGGUUUAGUGGUCUUGCAGGUGAGGAUCCACAUGAGCAUCUAAAGGAAUUUGAGGUUGUGUACUCUGCACCUUCUGGACCUUCACUAGAAGAUAUUGUCAAACAAAUGGCUGCAAAUAAUCUCCAGUUUUAACAACAAGUAGAUUCUACUUUAAAGACUUUGCAAACACAUAUUGGGCAGCUUGCCACUUUGGUGAAUGCCAUGCAGCAAGCUCAAGGAUCAAACCAACAACCCUUAGAAGAACAUUCUGUUUUGCAAAUAGAUUUGAUUUCUGAAAUUGUUGAUGAUACUUGUGGUGAUUUGUUUGCAUCUGAUUUUCCAUCAUUGUCUGGUUUUGAUGAUGUUUAUUCUUGUGAUAUUUGUACUGAAACUAAAAUUUGCUCUGUUUGUGCUGAAAUUGAGGCUGCCUUGCAAGUUGAUAUUCUUACUGCAGAUGAGGUUGCAAAUAAAGUUGUUCAUGUAGAUAAAGCUCUUGACAUCCCGGUUGCCCCAAACACUCCUUCUAUUGAGCAACCACCUUCCCUCGAGCUGAAGCAACUUCCUGAAAAUAUGAAAUAUGCUUAUUUAGAGAUGAAUGAAAAACUACCGGCUAUAAUUUCUUCUAACCUUAAUUUCGAUCAAGAAAAUAAGCUUUUGCAGGUUUUAAGGAAGCAUAAAAAGGCAUUUGGUUGGACAUUGGCUGACAUUUCAGAUCAGAUCACCUUCACGUGUCCAUUUGACAAUUUUACUUUUAGAAGAUUCUUUGAUCCUGGAAUAAAAGGUGAAGAUACUAAUAAAAAUUUCAAGUUCAAUGGACAUUACCCAAAGCUAUUCCAUGACAGCCCCACUUUGGAAGAAGAAAAUGUAGAAUAUAUCUCUUUGGGAAAGCCUGCUUAUGUGGUCACCUAUCCUCCUUGACUACUCGGGUGUGUUCUUUCCUCUCUCUUCUCUCUCUUAUUUUAUGUUUGUUUCUUUCAUUGAGGACAAUGCAUAUUUUAAGUGUGGGGGAGGGAAUACUUUAUUUUCUUUGUUUUGUUUUGUUUUUGUUUUCUUUCUAAUUUUUUUUUUGCAUUUUUGUUGAAAGUUUUAGGCUAUAGAAUAAUUUGAGGUCGAGUUUGCGGAGACUUUGGAAAAAUUCACAAGAUCGGUAUUGUUUUAACACCGUAAGUCUCCUGCAUGUGGAAAUUGAGUUGAAUUUUUAUUAUGUUUUAGCCUUACAUUCUCAUCCUC